AUUGAACGCUGGCGGCAGGCUUAACACAUGCAAGUCGAGCGGGGGAAGGUAGCUUGCUACUGGACCUAGCGGCGGACGGGUGAGUAAUGCUUAGGAAUCUGCCUAUUAGUGGGGGACAACAUCUCGAAAGGGAUGCUAAUACCGCAUACGUCCUACGGGAGAAAGCAGGGGAUCUUCGGACCUUGCGCUAAUAGAUGAGCCUAAGUCGGAUUAGCUAGUUGGUGGGGUAAAGGCCUACCAAGGCGACGAUCUGUAGCGGGUCUGAGAGGAUGAUCCGCCACACUGGGACUGUGACACGGCCCAGACUCCUACGGAAGGCAGCAGUGGGGAAUAUUGGACAAUGGGGGGAACCCUGAUCCAGCCAUGCCGCGUGUGUGAAGAAGGCCUUAUGGUUGUAAAGCACUUUAAGCGAGGGGAGGCUACUCUAGUUAAUACCUAGGGAUAGUGGACGUUACUCGCAGAAUAAGCACCGGCUAACUCUGUGCCAGCAGCCGCCGCAG
rnacentral:rRNA from 1 species